rnacentral:ncRNA from 2 species
AAAGUUCUUCGGGGCAGGGUGAAAUUCCCUACUGGCGGUAUAGUCCGCGACCCAUGAGUUUUUGUCAGGUGCGCAGAUGAAAACAAAAUGGCUGAUUUGGUGAAACUCCAAAACCAACAGUAAAGUCUGGAUGGUAGAAGAAACUG